AUAAAACCAAAGAAGAGUUCCUAGAAGCAUGACUCCUUUUCUUUGCUUCAAACUGUUCUGUAUCUUCUAUGCUUUUUAGCAUUUAUAAUCAGUCUCUGCAGCUUAAGCUGCUGUCUCUUUAUCUAUGGACUGAAAAUUAUAAUUGUCCAUGUGUAAAGAUUUUACAACACUUUUCUGAUUAAUGAUUCAUCGCCAAUUAAAUUAAGUUACAGGUAGUUUAUCUAAGAACCUCUUCUCCUGUGCCUCCUCUUCCUCCCAGACAUGAAUAAGAUAAAGUGCUUAUAACAAUACACAUCAUUGUAGAAAAUGGUAAUAGACGAGGGAUAGAUUUUGAGCAAGGGUUAAAACACAGGAAUUACAGAAACUGGAUCAAGAUUAUGCAUCUUCCUGUUCUACGGACAGCCAUGUGAUCAGAUAACUCACUCCACACCUAGGAAGUUAAAAACUGUUAUUUGGAGGGGGUUGCACUUUGCAGAGUUAUGAAGCCCUCAGCAUACAACCUGCACUCAUUAGUUGUGCACAGCAUCUGUAAUGAAAUCUUUUGUAACACUCCAAAGUCCUUCCAUACCUAAAUAUAUACAAUGUAUCUUAGCUAGGAAGAUGUAAAUAUCAAGAUAACACAAGCUUGUCAUAUCUAUUUUAGCUGAAGAUAAGGUACAAAUUGUGCAGAAAUUCCUUUUCUGACUUCUAGAAAUAAAAGUUUGCUAUAAAGGGUUAAUACAACCAAGGAGGAAGCAAUAUGAAAAAAGAGAGAAUUCCACAUUGAAUAUAAUAAGCACUUUCUGGGGCACAUCACACAAACAAAAAUAUUUUGAACAAAGAAAGUAAAGAAAAAGAAAGGUCAUGAUCCUACAUUCCAUAAAGGGAGAAAAAAAUAAAAGGGAGAAAAAAAGUCACAUUAAACCCUAAAAUUAAAAUGAAUGUUACCACUGAAGAAUAUGAAACUUUGAAAAUUUCAUGAUAAAAUGGUCCAAACCAGCCCUACACAGCAUUACACAACAUGGGUUAAAUAAAUCAUACCUGUCUUACUUUUGAUACAAUGGUUAAAAACAAAUGUAAAGACUACUGCAAACCAAUCUUACACUGACUGUUCUGCAGUGUAAAUGAGCACAGUUCCAAUUAUGUCUCUACUGAGGGAAGCAACAGGCAACAUAUAAAUGCAAACAGCCUUCAUCAGACACAUUGUCAUGAGUAUAUUAAUCAUGUCAAGAAGCAUUGCUCAAUUUUCCUUCAGUGCAAUUUAACAUACCUUACUUUAUUAGGAUACACUUAAUUUCACUAUGCUUUCUCCUCAUUAUCAUUUAUGAUGACCAAUUAAAAUGUUUGUGUCUCUAAGCAAAUUAGUCCUGUAAUUCAGGUACCUGAAAUCACUGUUCAUCCUACACUUCUGUCAUCUCCUUCUCUUGGUGCAAUACCUUCCUUUUAGAGGCCCAGCCACUCUUACCAUUGCAAACAAAAAAAAAUCCCUUCUUUAGACUGAAUAAUUAAGAUAUAAACCUGAGUCUUUUUACAGCACAGACACUAAGAAGUGGGCUGGUUCUCCACCCCUCAUACCCCUUUUGCCCCAAGUAUAGAGCCUUUUGUUCCCUUGGAGUCACCAGCACAACUCAUAGUCAGAAAAAGAACGUAAUGAUGCAAGGGGAGGCCUCACAC
rnacentral:lncRNA from 1 species